rnacentral:rRNA from 1 species
ACAUGCAAGUCGAGUGCGCGUUCCGUANCAAUACGGAAUGGCGCACGGCGCACGGGUGCGUAACACGUGGGUAAUCUGCCCUUCGGUGGGGAAUAACUCCGGGAAACCGGAGCUAAUUCCGCAUGACAUUCCUUGGACUUCGGUUCGAGGAUUCAAAGCCGCAAGGCGCCGGAGGUGGAGCCCGCGCACGAUUAGCUAGUUGGUAGGGUAACGGCCUACCAAGGCUAUGAUCGUUAGCUGGUCUGAGAGGAUGGCCAGCCACACUGGAACUGAGACACGGUCCAGACUCCUACGGGAGGCAGCAGUGGGGAAUCUUGCGCAAUGGGCGAAAGCCUGACGCAGCGACGCCGCGUGGGGGAUGAAGCUUCUCGGAGUGUAAACCCCUUUCGACUGGGAAGAAUACCUCGCAAGAGGGGUGACGGUACCAGUAGAAGAAGCCCCGGCUAACUACGUGCCAGCAGCCGCGGUAAGACGUAGGGGGCCAGCGUUGUUCGGAAUUACUGGGUGUAAAGGGUCAGUAGGCGGUGUGGCAAGUCGGGAGUGAAAUCUAUGGGCUUAACCCAUAGGCUGCUUCCGAAACUGCUGUGCUU